UUAAGCGGUAUUGCAAAAUAAACGCACAAUAAACCAUGCAUACGAUUGGAACUUAAUAGUCCAUGUAGCACGCUUGGCUGAACCAUUGAUUAACUGGCACUUUCGUUUAAUCCGGCUGGUGUAGAAAGAGCGAGGGAGAGAGACAGACAAAAUGGGGUGGAUGGAAAACUUCUUCUGUUGGAUAAAGCACUGUUACUUCCAGUGGGAGGUAGCCAGUAUGCUAGUGGUGAUGGACCCAAUAGAGAAAUACAUCUUCCACGCAUUCACUGUGUUAUUACUGGCAGUGGUAAUAUAUUCUACAGUAUCCAUAGUAACGGGAAUCGUGCCUUACCUUUCACUUCCCUUCCAAGGGGGAAACUAAUGCCAGCCUGGAUCGGGGUAUCCCGUGCCACAAACAGCGACGACAGAUUUUGGAAAUCACCGCAAUCCAGGACAUUAUUUUAAUGCCAGAAAGGUUUUAUGUGAGACAUUUAUUGUAAAAAAAAGACUUACAGUUGGUUUGAUUUUACUUUCAUGUCAAUACAUGUUCUAGUACUCCCCAAAAAGGAAAAAGUUAUAAAAAUAGCGUACCCUCAAAAAUGGAAGUACAUCGUCUUCUUGUGAGUUAUCAUGAAGAAAUAGGAAACUACACUUGUGUAAUUAUCACAUGUGAAGAAUAUUCUCGUAGUUACUGCAUGUAGAUCAGGAUAAGAAAUCUUUGCCUUUCUCUCUUCAGCUAGUCCCUUUUC